rnacentral:tRNA from 1 species
GAGGGUAUAGCUCAGUGGUGGAGCGCAUGCUUAGCAUGCACGAGGUCCUGGGUUCAGUCCCCAGUACCACCA